rnacentral:lncRNA from 1 species
AUAAUUUAAUUUACAUAACUAAAACAUACAGUAGUAAAUACUAUAAAAACACAUCAGGAUCGGUUAAAUUUGUUAAAGAUCUACACAGGGAGGCGCGGAUCGGCUACCAAUUGAUGAGGAUGGGAGGCAGAUUUAGUUCAUUCCAACAUAGUUAAUGCUAGUUUUGAGCUCCAGAGCAAGGUUAGGUUGAAUAUGGAGUUAAUAUGAAAGAGAAAAAAAUUGGCGGCAUUGAAAAGUGAAGAGAACUGAGAAGAAGAGAAGGAAUUAGGUGAAAGGACAGAGUUAAGAGGAAUUUGAGGUAGAAGAAUAUUUCAAGGGAACAAGACGAAGAUGGAGAAGAAUGGGUAGGUGAGUUGGUGGAGAGGAGAGUAAAGUAGCUCGGAUUUCGAGAAAACCUAAUUUUUAUCUCUACCCCUGCAAUUCCCCGAAUUUAAUCCCUAUUCGAGAGGUGAGGGGAAAUUAAAUUAACGGGUUAUUCCAUGAAAACUUGGAAUAACUCAUUUUGACCGGGUUAAAAUAUUCCGAUCAAAUUAUACUUUUUGUUUGGCAGAAUAAUUAGGAUAAAUAAAUUUAAUCCCUUGUUCUCCUAUUACCAAAUAU